UGAAAAUAUGGCUUUGAAUCUCUGCAUGCC
rnacentral:piRNA from 1 species